AUUGAACGCUGGCGGCAGGCCUAACACAUGCAAGUCGAGCGGAGCGGCGGACGGGUGAGUAAUGCCUAGGAAUCUGCCUGGUGGUGGGGGAUAACGUCCGGAAACGGGCGCUAAUACCGCAUACUAUCAGAUGAGCCUAGGUGGGAUUAGCUAGGUGGUGGGGUAACGGCGUACCAAGGCGACGAUCAGUAACUGGUCUGAGAGGAUGAUCAGUCACACUGGAACUGAGACACGGCCCAGACUCCUACGGGAGGCAGCAGUGGGGAAUAUUGGACAAUGGGAGAAAGCCUGACCCAGCCAUGCCGCGUGUGUGAAGAAGGUCUUCGGAUUGUAAAGCACUUUAAGUUGGGAGGCGUUACCAACAGAAUAAGCACCGGCUAACUUCGUGCCAGCAGCCGCGGUAAUUC
rnacentral:rRNA from 1 species